rnacentral:rRNA from 1 species
GCUUGUCUCAAAGAUUAAGCCAUGCAUGUCUAAGUGUAAAUAAGUCUAUACUGUGAAACUGCGAAUGGCUCAUUAAAUCAGUUAUCGUUUAUUUGAUGAUCUCUUACUACUUGGAUAACCGUAGUAAUUCUAGAGCUAAUACAUGCACAAAAUCCCGACUUACGAAGGGAUGUAUUUAUUAGAUACAAAACCAACCCGGGCAACCGGUCCUUUGGUGAUUCAUGAUAACUUUGCGAAUCGCAUAGCUUUAAUGCUGGCGAUGGGUCAUUCAAAUUUCUGCCCUAUCAACUUUCGACGGUAGGAUAGAGGCCUACUGUGGUGAUAACGGGUAACGAAGAAUAAGGGUUCGAUUUCGGAGAGGGAGCCUGAGAAACGGCUACCACAUCCAAGGAAGGCAGCAGG